GGAGGCAGCAGUAGGGAAUCUUCCGCAAUGGACGAAAGUCUGACGGAGCAACGCCGCGUGAGUGAUGAAGGCUUUCGGGUCGUAAAACUCUGUUGUUAGGGAAGAACAAGUGCUAGUUGAAUAAGCUGGCACCUUGACGGUACCUAACCAGAAAGCCACGGCUAACUACGUGCCAGCAGCCGCGGUAAUACGUAGGUGGCAAGCGUUAUCCGGAAUUAUUGGGCGUAAAGCGCGCGCAGGUGGUUUCUUAAGUCUGAUGUGAAAGCCCACGGCUCAACCGUGGAGGGUCAUUGGAAACUGGGAGACUUGAGUGCAGAAGAGGAAAGUGGAAUUCCAUGUGUAGCGGUGAAAUGCGUAGAGAUAUGGAGGAACACCAGUGGCGAAGGCGACUUUCUGGUCUGUAACUGACACUGAGGCGCGAAAGCGUGGGGAGCAAACAGGAUUAGAUACCCUGGUAGUCCACGCCGUAA
rnacentral:rRNA from 2 species